AUGACUAGGGCUUCCAUCUCAAGGUUACUUCAUGGCCCAAGACUUCUGUUGGAGCUCCAGCUGUUACAGCAGCAUCUCAGAAGUUCUCAACCAGGAGGAACACACUCGCUUGCCCUCCUCAAUUCAGCCUUGGGAGAUAUUUUGCAAUAUCUGGAGAUGGUUUUGGUUGUUACAACUGGGAAUAGAAAAGAAGCUUGGGAUUCAGACAAAGUAAUUUUGAGUGUGACAACACAUUUAUCGCUUCUUAUAGCAUCAUUUUUCAAGUAUGACUACUGGAUUCCUUUGUUGCCACUCAAAAAUGAACCGCUGUCAAACUGGGUAGGUGCCAUGGCCUUUCUCUUUCUUUAUACUCCAGAGUAUCACAUAGAUUCAGUAUUAAUAAGCUGUAAUAAAGAAUCAGACAGAUCAUGAGUAUUAUAAGUAAUGUAUACAUGUAUCAAGUCUAGAGCCUAUCAAAUGUACUACUAAAUGUUAGGCAUUUUAUUCUUCUGUACUUAUUUUGAGUGGAAUAUUAUUUUUGUUUGCUUCAAUUAUUGCUAUUAACAAUAAUAUCUAAUAAUUGAAUGAUAGCUAGCUACUCUUUCAUGUCUGCUAGCUCUUUACACCUGUAUGAUGAGAAGAUUAGACAAAGGAUAGACAAAGAAGAAGGCUUGGAGGUGAGACACACCUGGGUUCAAUCCUGGCACUCCCCUUAUUAUUGAUGGGGCUUCUGGCAGAUUAUAUAAGUGUUUCUGUGUCUCAUUUUUCUCAUGUGUCAAAUGAAGAUAAUGCUACUUUAUAGAAUUAAAUGAGAUCACAUGCAUAAAGCACUUAGUUCAAAGAGUGAAUGGUGGGAUUAGAUUCAUACCUCAGUUUCCUAACCCAAAGUCAAGUGAUAUUUCUGUUGAAUUGUGAAUUUUAUCUAAAAUAAAAUUAAACCUAUUCAGAAAACA
rnacentral:lncRNA from 13 species